AAAAGCUGUGUGAAUAGAAGAUAGAGCCCGUACCGCAAACCGACACAGGUAGAUAGGAAGAAGAUUCUAAGGCCAACGGGAGAAGGGUUGUUAAGGAACUCGGCAAGUUGACCCCGUAACUUAGGGAGAAGGGGUGCUCUUUAAGGAGAGCCGCAGAGAAUAGGCCCAAGCGACUGUUUAGCAAAAACACAGCUCUAUGCUAAAUCGAAAGAUGACGUAUAUGGGGUGACACCUGCCCGGUGCCGGAAGGUUAAGAGGAGGAGUGAGAGCUCUGAAUUGAAGCCCCGGUAAACGGCGGCCGUAACAAUAACGGUCCUAAGGUAGCGAAAUUCCUUGUCAGGUAAGUUCUGACCCGCACGAAUGGUGUAACGAUUUGGGCACUGUCUCAACAACCUGCCCGGCGAAAUUGUAGUACCGGUGAAGAUGCCGGUUACCCGCGACUAGACGGAAAGACCCCAUGGAGCUUUACUGCAGCUUAAUAUUGAAUUUCGGUAUUUCAUGUACAGGAUAGGUGGGAGACAGGGAACCAUAGGCGUCAGCUUAUGGGGAGUCGACCUUGGGAUACCACUCUUGAGGUGCUGGAAUUCUAACCUGUGGCUCUGAAUCGAGUCAGGGGACAUUGUUAGGCGGGCAGUUUGACUGGGGCGGUCGCCUCCAAAAAGGUAACGGAGGCGCUCAAAGGUUCGCUCAGCAUGGAUGGAAACCAUGCUUUUGAGUGUAAACGCAAAAGCGAGCCUAACUGCGAGACUGACGGGUCGAGCAGUAACGAAAGUUGGAGUUAGUGAUCCGGCGGUAUGUGAGUGGAAAUGCCGUCGCUCAACGGAUAAAAGCUACCCUGGGGAUAACAGGCUGAUCUCCCCCAAGAGUCCACAUCGACGGGGAGGUUUGGCACCUCGAUGUCGGCUCAUCGCAUCCUGGGGCUGAAUUCGGUCCCAAGGGUUUGGCUGUUCGCCAAUUAAAGCGGUACGCGAGCUGGGUUCAGAACGUCGUGAGACAGUUCGGUCCCUAUCUGUCGUGGGCGUAGGAUAUUUGAAAGGAGCUGUCCCUAGUACGAGAGGACCGGGAUGGACGCACCGCUGGUGCACCAGUUGUCAUGCCAAUGGCACAGCUGGGCAGCUAUGUGCGGAACGGAUAAACGCUGAAGGCAUCUAAGCGUGAAGCCGACCUUAAGAUAAGAUAUCCCUUCGUAAGAGUAAGACCUCUCAUAGACUAUGAGUUUGAUAGGCCUAAGGUGUAAGCACAGUGAUGUGUUCAGCCUGCAGGUACUAAUCGGUCGAGGGCUUCUCA
rnacentral:rRNA from 1 species